rnacentral:tRNA from 1 species
AUGUGGCUCAGUGGUAAAGUGCUUUCCCUGUAUGCAAGAGGCCCUGGGUUCAAUACCCAGCAU